GUAGUGCUUGAUUUUGAGUGAUUGUGGCAGGAUGAAUGUUAUCCCUCGGUCCAACCCACUUUCAGCCUGGCGCAUUAGGGGGCGCUAGUAUAAAUAGUGGCCAUUUGAGUGUCCCUGGAUCGCUUACCUGUGAUCUCCUUUUUGGUCACCUGACUUCCCUUUGGUGUUGCAGAGAUUAUUUGCGGGUUACUCUUCUGAAGCCUCCAUCGCGGCUGGUCGUAGCUGUAGAAGCCUCCUCUGAGCCAUUCUGCUCACGUUUUAUGACACGGCUUACUUGGAAGUGUGGGCCUUAGUUUUGCGCCAAGCUACGCGAACUGAAGUGCUGCUGCUUUGCUUUGCUUUGCUGAGCUUUUACCGUCUGUUCCCGUUGCGAGAUUUCUUUUUCUGCUGCUGCCAGCUUUUACAGUGGACGUCGGCGUGGACGACGGCCAUAUGCAUGCCGGUUAUCGGAGUCAGCUGGCGCGCAUAUUGAUUGACCGUUAACUUGUAGUCGUGUAGACGGCAAGUUGGAGCAAUACGGCGAUUCCGUUUGCUCCAGAUUUUAGAGUUUUAUCCAGAUUGUAUGUUGUUUUACUGUUUUUUGGAUUUUUGUUACGCCACUGGUGGGAGGCCCUUUUUCUAGCUGUAGAUCACCAGUGUGGUCCUGCAGUUGGGUUAUCCCCCAGUGCUACACAUUAGUUUGUUGUACUAUAUUAAAAUUCU